rnacentral:pre_miRNA from 1 species
AGCCCCCUGUAUUCGUGCUGAGAUUUCGUCAGAGAUCAACGCGUUGGGGCUGAUGUUACUUCCCGAAUAAGUGAAGCG